UGUCAGUUGUCUAAGUAGUCGCUGAAAAUUAUAUGUAAUGUAGCAAGCAUAUUUUUCUUUAUAUAUUAAUAAAAUAUUUAAACUUCAAGAAAGUAAUCAUUAUUUCAAUGCAAGAAGGCUAUUCCAAGUAAUAAUCAAACAGGUUAUGGGCCCAGAUAAUACUGAAAACUAUUAAGUAGUAGACGCCAGCCACUCAAAGAGCGAGGGAAACGUUCAUCAAAUCGAGAUGAAUAUUUCAACGGUACCACAGUUGAACUCAGAUAAUUUCAACAAUUGGAAAUUUAGAGUAAGAGCUUUACUUGCAGCAAAACAAUUAGAAGAUACACUUGAAAAAACAAUAGCCGAUUUCACUUCGGAUAAACAAAUAUCAGAAUUCAAAAUCAACGAUGCUAAAUCAAAGUCAAUAAUAGUGCAAUGUGUGAGUGACAAACAUCUAGACAUAAUAAAACUUGCGAAAACGGCUAAGGAAAUGCUAAGUUCACUAGAAGAUGUAUUCCAAAGAAAAAGUGUCUUCACAAAACUUACCCUAAAAAAGAGACUACUUACCUUAAAGCAUAGAAGAAAUGAUAAAUUAGAGGAUCAUAUCCAUGUGUUUGAUACUAUAAUAAGGGUAGAAGGAAUAGGAUCAAAAAUAGAUGUAGAUACAAAGUAUGUCAUCUUUAGUUAACAUUGAAUGAAGAAUACCAGACAGUGAUAACUGCAAUUGAAACUAUGAACACCAGUGUAGCAAUGGACUUUGUGAAAUCUUGGUUGUUUGUUGAAGAAUUAAAAAUAAAAUCAAAAUAAGUAAGCAGAAUGUCAUCAGUCAUCACAAGGAACUUUAGAGGUAGAUGUUUUCGUAGAAGUCAUCUUAGAGGUCAAAGUCAAGCAAAUGCCGCCAAUGAAAUUACAUUUAUAGCUUUAAGCAGUGUAUGCCUUCUACUAGAGUUUAUUUUGGGCUCGGUGUGCACUCAGCAUAUGGUAAUGGAUGAAAUGGAGCCUUAUACAAAUGUGAUGGAUUUGGCAUCAGAAGUAAAAAUAGGAACUGCAAAGAAUGAGGUGCUGUAUGCAAAGAAAAAAGGGACAGUCAAAGUUUUUAUAAUAAGGAAAAUGAUAAAGAUAUUUGGCACAGGAGGUUAGGGCAUAUUAACAAAUAUAUUUUAAAAAAAUUAGGGUUACCUUAUAGUUCAGAAGUUUGUAAAAAUUGUGUUGAAGGUAAAGGUACAAGAAACCCUUUUUAUAGAUGUAGAAAGAAAACUACAAAAAUUGGAGAAUUGAUACAUACAGAUAUAGCAGAUCCUGUAAAAACUCCUAUACCAGAAGGUUACUAGUAUUUUCAAGUUUUAAUUGAUGAUUAUUCUCAUUUUUUUGUUGUUAAGCUAUUAAAAGAUAGAAAUGAAAGUGAACAAAAUGUUAUAGAUUUUAUUAAACUUAUUAAAACCAAACAUGGGCUUAGAACUCAAAGAAUUAGAUUGAACAAUGGGGGAGAAUUUACCUCUAAUUACUUUAAAAAAAUUUUGUAAAUCUAAAAGGAUUCAGCUGGAGUAUAAGGUGCCACAUACUCCACAGCAGAAUGGUAUUUCAGAAUGGAUGAAUAGGACACUUUUAGAUAAAGUAAGGACAAAGUUUUCAGAAACCAACUUACCAAGAGAGUUAUGGGGCGAAGCAAUUCUAUGUUCUGCAUAUGAGUUGAACAGAUCGCCUACUGACGCAAAUUUCGGAGAAACUUUGCAACUAUUUUGCCAAGACAAAGUAAACUAGUAGGGUACAGUGGAGCUGUGAAAUUUUCUGCUCAAGAAAUAUGAAAAACAAACGAAUUUCAAAGAAAUAUCAAAACAAAAACCUGACUGCGAAUGAACAAAUAAAAAUAAGAUUUGAUGAAGAAACUUAAUUAAGGGAUAAAGAAGAUAACAUUGAAAUUGAAAUCGAAGAAGAGAGUGACUCAGAAGAAAUAACUUUGGAAGAGUCCAGAAGUUUAGAUGUUUUAAAUGAUUUUGAAGAGUAUUUACCAAGAACAGAUACAACCUCUAGCGGGAGAACUGUGAAUAUGCCAAAACAUUUUAAUGAGUACGAGAUUUACCCAGCCUACUGUCUAAUAUCAUCAGAUAAUGAUUCAGUACAAUAUGAAGAUACAGUGAAAGUGAAAGAUUGGAGAGAUGCUAUGGAAAAGGAGUUGAACUCGCACGAAAAUUUGAAAACGUGUUAUGAAGCAAAUCUACCUACAGGAAAAACGGCAAUUGAGACUAAAUGGGUAUACAGAACAAAGGAAGAUGGAACAAAGAAGGCAAGAGUGAUGGCAAGAGGCUUUCAGAUGAAGGAGGAGCAUCCAUUUGAACCUGUUGCUCAAAUGUCAACCAUUCAUGGUUUUGAAAGAAGCAAAACUGUGUCAAAGUCCAAUGAAAAUUCUAAUAGAGCUAAGUACAUAGAUAUUAAGAAUCAUUUUUCAAAAGGCUUGGUUACGAAAAAAGAAAUUGCUGUAAGUUAUGUGUCAACUGAACAAAAUUUAGCUGAUAUAUUAACUAAACCUUUAGUUAAGGAUACUUUCAUUUAUUUAAGAAGAAAAGUAAGUGUAGUCUAAAUUUUGUUUGCUAAGUAGUUAAGUUGCGAUUUUCAUGUAUCAUUGUAUGAAACAUUUUAAAUCGAGGAGGAGUGUUAGUUGGUAAAAUGUUAGCAGCCAACUUCAUGUAUUUCAUAUGUCAGUUGUCUAAGUUGUAGCUGAAAAUGAUAUGUAAUGUAGCAAGCAUAUUUUUCUUUAUAUAUUAAUAAAAUAUUUAAACUUCAAGAAUGUAAUCAUUAUUUCAAUGCAAGAAGGCUCUUCCAAGUAAUAAUCGAACAUACUUUACACUGUUUUUUUAUUGGUAGGAUUUGAAAUCAUAUAAAUACUGAUUUGAAAAUAAUAAAUGCAAAUAACACCUAAUAAUUGAAUGGAGAUCGUCAUGCUACAAUUCUAUACCUACUGUUGUCAAGGCAAUGAGAAAUAGUAUAUUACACACCGAGGUGGGAGGAAUUUCAUUACUGUCGAGAGAUUAGAUAUAGUUAACCAAAACGAGAGCUAUGAUCUCGAGACAGGAAUGGAAACUUCCUACCGAGGUUUGUAUACUAUAUUAUUUACAACCAUUAUAUUUCGAUCAAAAUUAAUAAAUGUUUGUUUUGUUCUGAAUAUACCUAAAAUAUUAUAUUUAAUAAAAUAUUAUCAGGCAUUUUUCUAAAAUAAUCAAGCAGGUACCUAUAUUGUUACUGUUGCUAUUUGAUAAACAACUGUCACCAAUAUAAAUAAAUGUUAGAUAAAGUUGGAUGGAUAUUAAGUUCACAAAUAAUAAAUUGACAAAAAUGUCCUCCGAUGCAGAAUUGAUGGAUUGUACUCCUCCAGAAAUACGACAGGCUGCUGACGCAGCAGCACACAGUUUGUGCCAGAAAAAAGAAAAAUAUAGAGGAUUUUUUAAACAAAGCUCCAAAUGAAUUUCUACCAAUAAAGAUCGCAUUAAUAAUAGGCUUAUCUGGAGCUUAUCGGACGGACGAAUUAGUGAAAAUGAAAAUUUUCGGUGUUGCUUUUUUUUGAAGAAAAAAUUUGGGUUGAGAUUCCAAAAUACUUACAAGUAGAUCAUUUUUCAUUUUUGAUCCAGUGUGGGUGGAAAUCAUUCGAGACUAUAUGCAUUUGACAAAAAACAUAGAAAUCGAUAGACUUUUUGUUCAGCUUAGAGGAGGAAUAGUAAAAAAUCAAAUAAUUCGGCACACUAUUUUUUCCCAAAAAAUUGCUACUUUUUUAAUUAAGAGGACUCGAAAGGCUUUAUAAACCACACUCUAAGAACCUUUGCUACGUUACAUGCCAACAGCAGUGCAAAUGUACUCUAAUUAAAAAGGGAGAAUGGAAAACUGCCAAUAUGCUGAGCCAAUAGGCCAUGUCUUUUAAAGAUUUUGCAAGUAGUUCACAAACCUUAAUCAUUCAACAGGAAAGUAAUUUUUGACCAGAGAUAACUGUCGGGAGACGCCAGCGCUGGUACUGGCCUAAAUAUUUCUAUAAACGUUUACAAAUAAAUUCAACCAUUAAUUUCAAUAAGUAGUUUGUUAUAUUUUAGUUCAAUGUUGGUUUUUAUUGUUUGCCAUUAAAUAGGUAUUAUAUUUGUCAAUGUGUUAUAUUUUUAAAUAUAAAAUUGGAGUUUGCUUAGUAAAAAAUUUUCGUAACGUCUUCCGUAUUCAAGAUAAAGGGAGUUGAAGAAAUGAAUACAUCCUUUGAUUUUUUUUUAUAUAUGACUAUCAUUGACGAAGAUAGUUGCAGGCUAAAAUUUCGAGCGAACUCAAAAAUCAUUCAAUUAUACACCAAAAAGGUACUCUCGAUACUAUGUACCCUUUUUGGAAUAUUUAUUAUUAUGAAGUAUUGGGCGAUGAUGGUAUAAAUUAAUGAUAAAUUAUUAAUUAAAAAAAACGAAUAGAAAAUUGAAAUAAAGACUAUAAAAUGAAAAUUAAUUAGAGUAAUUGUUUCUUUCGUUUUCACGAUAAACAAGUCUAUCCUUUUAUCUAAAGAAUACAUUAUCCUUCUAAAUGGUUGGGGAUUAACUUUGAAGUCAUUGUGUGUAUAAUGAAUUCUGUCUUUCAAUUCUUCACAUGAAUUUAUCUCUCUAGCUUUAUAUCUUAAGAUACGACCAAACUGUGUAGUCCAAAGUGUUGAAAUCACAUGGCUCAGGAGGCCAAUGAAUCGGA